rnacentral:rRNA from 2 species
GGAACCACCCGAUCCCAUCCCGAACUCGGAAGUGAAACGCAGCUGCGCCGAUGGUAGUGUGGCUCAAGCCAUGCGAGAGUAGGUCAUCGCCAGGG